UACAUCCUUGUCUAGUGGGAGCAUAGUAUUCAAUGAGCGUUUAGCGAGGGUACUGAUGCUGACACCAUUUGACAUUAAAUCAAUCCGCAUCAUCGAGACAGAAUUAUAUCUCGUAUGGAUGCAAUUUUUGGGGAA